rnacentral:rRNA from 1 species
CUUCGGGGUAGAUCUCCCACCCUUUGUAUACCAUACCUCUGUUGCUUUGGCGGGCCGCCUAGCUACUGGCUUCAGCUGGUAAGUGCCCGCCAGAGGACCCAAAACCCUGAAUAUUAGUGUCGUCUGAGUAAAAUUUUAAUAUUUAAAACUUUCAACAACGGAUCUCUUGGCUCUGGCAUCGAUGAAGAACGCAGCGAAAUGCGAUAAGUAAUGUGAAUUGCAGAAUUCAGUGAAUCAUCGAAUCUUUGAACGCACAUUGCGCCCCUUGGUAUUCCGAGGGGCAUGCCUAUUCGAGCGUCAUUAUCACCCCUCAAGCCUAGCUUGGUGUUGAGACCUGCUGUCAAGGCAGUCUCUAAAAUCAGUGGCAGUGCUGUCAGGCUCUAAGCGUAGUAAAUUCGUCGCUAUAGGGUCCUGGUGGAUACUCGUCAAAACCCCCCCAUUUUUUAAUGAUUGACCUCGGAUUAGGUAGGGAUACCCGCUGAACUUAAGCAUAUCAAUAAGCGGAGGAAAAGAAACCAACAGGGAUUGCCUCAGUAACGGCGAGUGAAGCGGCAAAAGCUCAAAUUUGAAAUCUGGCUCUUUUAGGGUCCGAGUUGUAAUUUGUAGAAGAUGUUUCGGGUGUGGCUCCGGUUUAAGUUCUUUGGAAUAUUACAUCAUAGAGGGUGAGAAUCCCGUAUGUGACCGGCAGCCUUCGCCUAUGUGAAACUCUUUCGACGAGUCGAGUUGUUUGGGAAUGCAGCUCAAAAUGGGAGGUAUAUUUCUUCUAAAGCUAAAUAUUGGCCAGAGACCGAUAGCGCACAAGUAGAGUGAUCGAAAGAUGAAAAGCACUUUGGAAAGAGAGUUAAACAGUACGUGAAAUUGCUGAAA